rnacentral:rRNA from 1 species
AACGAGCGCUGGCGGCAUGCCUAACACAUGCAAGUCGAACGAGACCUUCGGGUCUAGUGGCGCACGGGUGCGUAACGCGUGGGAACCUGCCCUUAGGUUCGGAAUAACUCCCCGAAAGGGGUGCUAAUACCGGAUAAUGUCUUCGGACCAAAGAUUUAUCGCCUUUGGAUGGGCCCGCGUUGGAUUAGCUAGUUGGUAGGGUAAAAGCCUACCAAGGCGACGAUCCAUAGCUGGUCUGAGAGGAUGAUCAGCCACACUGGGACUGAGACACGGCCCAGACUCCUACGGGAGGCAGCAGUGGGGAAUAUUGGUCAAUGGGCGAAAGCCUGAUCCAGCAAUGCCGCGUGAGUGAUGAAGGCCUUAGGGUUGUAAAGCUCUUUUACCCGGGAUGAUAAUGACAGUACCGGGAGAAUAAGCUCCGGCUAACUCCGUG